UACCAGCACCCCGAGUGGUCGGGACGAUUAUUGGGCCUAAAGCAUCCGUAGCCGGUCCUACAAGUCUUCCGUUAAAUCCACCUGCUUAACAGAUGGGCUGCGGAAGAUACUAUAGGGCUAGGAGGCGGGAGAGGCAAGCGGUACUCAGUGGGUAGGGGUAAAAUCCUCUGAUCCAUUGAAGACCACCAGUGGCGAAGGCGGCUUGCCAGAACGCGCUCGACGGUGAGGGAUGAAAGCUGGGGGGAGCAAACCGGAUU
rnacentral:rRNA from 1 species